UACGUAGGGUGCGAGCGUUGUCCGGAAUUAUUGGGCGUAAAGGGCUCGUAGGCGGUUUGUCGCGUCGGGAGUGAAAACCUUGGGCUUAACUCAGGGCUUGCUUUCGAUACGGGCAGACUAGAGGUAUGCAGGGGAGAACGGAAUUCCUGGUGUAGCGGUGAAAUGCGCAGAUAUCAGGAGGAACACCGGUGGCGAAGGCGGUUCUCUGGGCAUGAUCUGACGCUGAGGCGCGAAGGCGUGGGGAGCGAACGGG
rnacentral:rRNA from 1 species